GACGAACGCUGGCGGCGUGCUUAACACAUGCAAGUCGAACGGAAAGGCCCUGCUUGCCGGGUACUCGAGUGGCGAACGGGUGAGUAACACGUGGGUGAUCUGCCCUGCACUUCGGGAUAAGCCUGGGAAACUGGGUCUAAUACCGGAUAGGAGCCAUUUUUAGUGUGAUGGUUGGAAAGUUUUUUCGGUGUAGGAUGAGCUCGCGGCCUAUCAGCUUGUUGGUGGGGUAAUGGCCUACCAAGGCGGCGACGGGUAGCCGGCCUGAGAGGGUGGACGGCCACAUUGGGACUGAGAUACGGCCCAGACUCCUACGGGAGGCAGCAGUGGGGAAUAUUGCACAAUGGGCGCAAGCCUGAUGCAGCGACGCCGCGUGGGGGAUGACGGCCUUCGGGUUGUAAACUCCUUUCGCUAGGGACGAAUCUUUUUGUGACGGUACCUAGAUAAGAAGCACCGGCUAACUACGUG
rnacentral:rRNA from 1 species